rnacentral:ncRNA from 1 species
GAGAGCCGUAUGAGUCGAAAGGUUCACGUACGGUUCGGGAAAGGGCUCGGCCCUAAGAAAGCCGAGUCUAGUUCAU